CUUCCAUCUUCUCUUCUGUGUUUUUUCUUCCCUUUCUCAUCUCUUUUAUAAAUUCAUUAACUUCUUCUUAAAAGUAUUCAUCUAUUACAACAAGAUCUUCAUUAAAUUUUUCUAAUUUAAGGAUAUCAUCAAUAUCAACUACAACACCAUCUUUAUCAAUCAGCUGCAAGAUCAGUGGAUGAGCAUUCUUACAAAUAAAUUAUUUUACACAAAUAGUAUAUAAAUUUGCAUACCUUCUAUUUUCUUGUUCUUUUGAUCUCUCCUCAAUUUCUCAUCGUAUAAAAACAACACUUUCCAUCACUGCAAGUUCAAGGGAUGCAACACACUCACACAAGUUAUCUUCUUUAUUUUUCUGUCCACCCGAAAUAGAAUUCUCAGAAUGUUGGUUGAAAUUGUUCUCACCCAAUAUUUCAUCCUCCUCUGCUGCACAAGGACAGUAGGUAUGAGGUAUGGAUGCACAAUCUAAAAAAGAUAUGAAUAGUGUAAGGCCUUCACUAUUUACAAAUAUUGCUAGAUAAUAAAUAAAUUUAUACUUUUGUA